AGUGAACGCUGGCGGUAGGCCUAACACAUGCAAGUCGAACGGCAGCACAGUAAGAGCUUGCUCUUACGGGUGGCGAGUGGCGGACGGGUGAGGAAUACAUCGGAAUCUACUUUUUCGUGGGGGAUAACGUAGGGAAACUUACGCUAAUACCGCAUACGACCUACGGGUGAAAGCAGGGGAUCUUCGGACCUUGCGCGAUUGAAUGAGCCGAUGUCGGAUUAGCUAGUUGGCGGGGUAAAGGCCCACCAAGGCGACGAUCCGUAGCUGGUCUGAGAGGAUGAUCAGCCACACGGGAACGUGGACACGGUCCAGACGCCUACGGGAGGCAGCAGUGGGGAAUAUUGGACAAUGGGCGCAAGCCUGAUCCAGCCAGACCGCGUGGGUGAAGGAGGCCUUCGGGGUGUAAAGCCCUUUUGUUGGGAAAGAAAAGCAGCAGGUUAAUACCCCGCUGUUCUGACGGUACCCAAAGAAUAAGCACCGGCUAACUUCGUG
rnacentral:rRNA from 1 species